rnacentral:rRNA from 1 species
AACGCGAAGAACCUUACCAGGCUUUGACAUGCCCUCUGUGGGACCCAGAAAUGGAUCCCUUCACUUCGGGUGGGAGGAGCACAGGUGCUGCAUGGCUGUCGUCAGCUCGUGUCGUGAGAUGUUGGGUUAAGUCCCGCAACGAGCGCAACCCUCGUCCUCUGUUGCCAACAGGUAAUGCUGGGAACUCUGAGGAAACUGCCGGUGAUAAGCCGGAGGAAGGUGGGGAUGACGUCAAGUCCUCAUGGCCCUUACAGCCUGGGCUACACACGUGUUACAAUGGCAGUGACAAUGCGCUGCAAACCCGCAAGGGUAAGCGAAUCGCAAAAAGCUGCCUCAGUUCGGAUUGUACUCUGCAACUCGAGUACAUGAAGCUGGAAUCGCUAGUAAUCGCGCAUCAUCGCGGCGCGGUGAAUACGUUCCCGGGCCUUGUACACACCGCUGUA